rnacentral:rRNA from 1 species
CUAGGAUAACCCAGCGAAAGUUGGACUAAUACCUUAUGUAUUCGUUUGAUCUCAUGAGAUUACGAAUAAAGAUUUAUCGGUUAUGGAUGGGGAUGCGUCUGAUUAGCUUGUUGGCGGGGUAACGGCCCACCAAGGCAACGAUCAGUAGGGGUUCUGAGAGGAAGGUCCCCCACAUUGGAACUGAGACACGGUCCAA